rnacentral:rRNA from 1 species
CGAACGGGUGAGUAACGCGUAGGUAACCUGCCCUGAANCGGGGGAUAACAUCUGGAAACAGGUGCUAAUACCGCAUAACAACGAAAACCACAUGGUUUCGUUUCAAAGAUGGUUUCGGCUAUCACUUCAGGAUGGGCCCGCGGUGCAUUAGCUAGUUGGUAAGGUAACGGCUUACCAAGGCAAUGAUGCAUAGCCGAGUUGAGAGACUGAUCGGCCACAUUGGGACUGAGACACGGCCCAAACUCCUACGGGAGGCAGCAGGC